GCUGGCGUACCUGCAGAGCUCCCUGGACAAACUCACUGAAGCCAUCAAACUGGCCAAGGGUCAACCUGACAGCGUGCAGGAGGCCCUCAGGUUCACCAUGGACGUCAUCGGGGGAAAGUUUAAUUCUGCCAAAAAGGACAACGACUUCAUCUACCACGAGACGGUCCCAUCUCUGGAGACCCUCACCUCCGUCAAAGGU